AGAUUGAACGCUGGCGGCAGGCCUAACACAUGCAAGUCGAGCGGUAGAGAGGUGCUUGCACCUCUUGAGAGCGGCGGACGGGUGAGUAAUGCCUAGGAAUCUGCCUAGUGGUGGGGGAUAACGUUCGGAAGCGGACGCUAAUACCGCAUACGUCCUACGGGAGAAAGCGGGGGACCUUCGGGCCUCGCGCCAUUAGAUGAGCCUAGGUCGGAUUAGCUAGUUGGUGAGGUAAUGGCUCACCAAGGCGACGAUCCGUAACUGGUCUGAGAGGAUGAUCAGUCACACUGGAACUGAGACACGGUCCAGACUCCUACGGGAGCCAGCAGUGGGAAUAUUGGACAAUGGGCGAAAGCCUGAUCCAGCCAUGCCGCGUGUGUGAAGAAGUCUCGGAUUGUAAGCACUUUAAGGUGGAGUAAGGUUAGUAAAUUUAAGUACGUUGU
rnacentral:rRNA from 1 species